rnacentral:lncRNA from 1 species
CAAGAGCUGUGUCUUAAAACUUAUUUCCAAGGAAGUGUCUCAUUUUAUUGCAGCACAAAAAAAAGAGACUCCAAGGUAAUAUUUACUUUGCUUUACAUUUCAUAAAAAAAAGAAGACUGUAAUUUCAUGGAGGCUCUAACAGGAAUUCCUCUUUCCAUCCAAGCGGAAGAAAUUGUGUUCAGGACCUUUCCCCGAGGGCUCAAGGAAAGCACUUGAACAUGGAAACUCCCACUCCACUUUAUUUGUGAGUUAGCCCUGCAGGAGGAUGAGGCAGGAAUUGAGACGCUAUAAGUGGACUAAGUGGCCAAAGCCUGUGACAUUAAGGAGUAGGAAAGGAUGCUGAGAGGAUAAUCUCAGAGAUGCAGCUCUCCAGCUGAUGAAAAUCAGAAGAGCCAGAUAAUCACUGAGAGGGAUUCCCACCUAGAAAGAAGGCAAUUGCAGGGGCUUUAAGAAAAAGGGUGCAGUAGUUGCUCCAGUUCUGCCUGUCAUUCCUGCACCACUGCCUUUCCAAGCACUGUCUCUUAAGAUGCUGGAGGAGGGGCUGAGGCCCUUUUAAUGAAGUGAAAGGAUGAGCGGGAGGCUGACCAGAACAGCAGUGGAAAGAGCAAAGACACAUGCUGAGAGCCCUGUGCAUGGGGAAACCAGAGCCGCAGCUUGUUCCAGACCCCGGAGCCUCUGAAGCACAGAUGUCUCCAGGAAAUCUUCACGCUUCACCCCAACAGAGCUCUGGCCAGGAAAAGAAUCUCCUUGGUCUAUUUUAAGUUGUAAAAGGAAAGAAUAUGAGACUCUUCCUAAAUUCUUGAAACCGGUAUCUGGGCCUCUGGGAAUGAAGAAAGACUCUGACUGUGACUGCAUUUAGGGCUCUGGCUGCUGUACAUCUACAUCUUGACAAGUUGACAUCUUUCAAAGACCUUCAGCAAGAAGUUCCCAGCAGAAGCAGAGACUAGAAAGGUGUUCUCAGCUGAGCAGCAGCUCAUCGCGUUGGCAUUUCCUUACAGAGGAUCACAGAAUUACGAAGGUUGGAAAAGAGCACUAAGAUCAUCUAGCCCAGCUGUCAACCCAUUGCCACCAUGCCCACUAAGCCGUGUCCCUAAGUGGGUGCUCAUUGCUUCAGGUCACACAGAAUCCUACUUUUUGCCCUUUGGGGAUCACUUGCUGCCGAUUCCCAACACGGCCACGCACGAGCUCUACCAGCUUUCAACCACACCUCCUAUUUCAGAUUCAUGCAGGGAGCUUGAAGUCGAUUCCUACCCCAAGAAUAAACACCAUUAAAAUCAAACAGCCACUCGAAAUCUGUCACAUACAGGACUCUGGGACAACAGAGAAAAGUUACUUCUGAAGCCAUUCUCCCGUUAUCUCUCUUAUUGCCAGAAGAAGGAGUGGAAAUGGCUUUGCAGGAGCAGGGAGGACGAGCUGCCCCCAUCAGCCCCACCUCCGUGAGCCCUUCAGCCCUCAGCUCUCACCUCUCCUCUCCCUGCGGAGAGCAUCGCGGUGCGGCUGCCGUGCGUAAGCCUGACGUCAGCCUUCGGAGCGCUCCGAAUGCAACUGAAGAACCAAUUUACACAGCUCUCUUCCUUAAAUUCCUUCCAAAUCCCCAGUUAAGUGCUAAAUAUCACGGGGUUGAAAAAAAAAAAUCACCCGAAUGUUACUGAUGUGUCAAACAUUUAGAUGCAAAAUGUAUCCUACGGUUGUGGAACCUCCUCUUCUCAUUAAAACUUUCCAUGCUGCAAUAAAUCUGUCUGGAAGGGGC